rnacentral:lncRNA from 1 species
CUGAUUGGGGCACCUUUGGCUUGUGCAGGUCUCAGCAGUACAGUGAUGGUGGUGGCAGUUUCAUUCAGAGAGGCAUCAACGCCUUCAUAGUCAGUGAACUUCACACAUGACAUUAUCCAGAAAUGCCGUUUCAAAGUACAGAGCAAUUUCAUGAGGAUUGAAAUAAAUUAAAAAUCACUGGAUCAAAGGAAAUGUAUUUCUUCAUGGCUAGCAGCAGCAAGAAAUUCUGACGAUAUGUCACCAGACUAAGAUUUAUUUCAUUCUACAAGGAGACUAUGAAUGAUGUUUUGACCUCUGGGGCAGGCAACAUGAGGUGGCACAUAAAAGAAAGAAACCCACAGGGGGAAAAGGGAAAGAAAUCCACAGUAAACAGAGAGCACAGCAGCCCUGAGCUUCAGUCAUGGCCAUGAUUCCACGAGCAUCCCUUACCCUGCUCCAAGGUGUCAGCAAAGGCUACUCUGCCCAUUGCAGCUGAGAUCCUGACAAACAUUCCCAACAUUCUGUGCGAUUUCUGGCAGUGCCAAGGCUGCCAGGGACACUGGUUUGCUGUGCAAGGAGAUGUAUGUAUAUUUGUGGAAUCUGUUUGUGAUCACAGUCAGGGGGGUGCCUCUCUUCUUCCCGUGUUUGCCAGGGCGCUUGGCAGAUGGACAGGCAAGAAUGAAAAGUGAGAACUGGUAUCAACAUUUCUGUGUCUACAGAACUCAAUUGGGCCUAUAAAUUCUACGAGACGGAAUGAAGGCAUUUCAAAUUGUUCUUAUCUAGGAGUGGUUUAAACUAGUUGCAUAAUUCUGCAUUGAAAGAUGGACAGGCAUGAAAAUUUGCUUCCCUACAACGCUGACAUUGUCAUCCCUUUUCACGCAUGUUCUACUUUGACACAAGUCUGCUUACAGCAUUUCCAGGUUCUGUUUUCAAGAUGAAAAACGGGGGAGAAUAGCAAGCCCAAGGUAUGCCACACAUGUGAUCAUGACUUGGACCAAUAAGUACUCCAAACUUUAUACACACACACACACACACACACACACACACACACACUCACACACACACACACGAAGAAGGUGAGGAUGAGGUAUGGGUAUAGACCAUAUAUAUAUGUCUGUGUAUAUAAUAUAUAUAUGUAUAUAUGUAUAUAUAUGUAUAUACACACACGUGUUUACAUAAGGAAGGAGAGGAUGAGGUAUGGGUACAGACUAUAUAUAUGUCUGUAUGUAAAUAUAUAUGUAUAUAUAUGCAUAAAGAUGGUAAGGAUGAAGUAUGGUUACAGACCUUAUGUGUGUGUGUGUGUACAUAUAUACAUAAGGACAGUGAAGGUA